CUCACUCUGUCUCUCUCUUAUCUCUUCGUUUCACUUGCGUCCACCACAGCCACUCAUUCCUCUAUUCCUCUCUCUUCCUCUCUCUUCCCGUCCUGCAAGUUUCGAUCGAUGGGCAUCAUGCGGGCUCUCACAAGCGAGCCCGAAAGCAAGCUAGUACCUGCAGCCCAGCCAGCCAGUAGGCAGCCUCUACGCCGUGUCCUAGUCCACGUUCCUGUGGCCGAAGCUCUGUGCGCGUGGACGUUCUUGUCAAAGCUAGCUAGCUUGUUUGAUCAUCCUACGGCUGAAGCUCUCUGCGCACGUGCAUGUUCCACCGGAGUGCGCUGGACGAAGCUGGAGCACCGGAGGGGAGCCGGAGUGCACCGGAUAGGAUGAAGGGCUUUUGAGGCUGGCUGGGCCUAUGGUGCGUGCAAAUGCGGCUAGUUUUACUUCCCAUUCGGGAAACACACCGGAUCCUCCUCCUCUGAUUGUUUCACCUCCACAAUGAUCGUACGUUGAGGUGGCAAAACGAGCGACGGAGCGCGACACGAAUCAGAGAGGAGGCCAGUAUGGCGGAGGAGGAAGGGAAGCGGACAUGGUAGACGGUAAUGUAUAUGGUGCUACUGGUGAUCAAUUCAAUGGCGGUCGUGGUGAUCGGCGUAGAUACGGUCGGUUCGGAAGGAACUAUCACAUCAACUUUGGGCACAAUCAUGGUGGUUUCAAUGGGGGAAGCAUUCAUCCUAGUUCUGGUUUCAAUGGUGCAAAAAAAGGCAUGUGUUUUGGCGCUGGCCGUGGAGGUCGGGGUGCUCUGCGUCCUCUUUAUAGAGGGCGAUAUGGUGGUGGCACACUUUGGGGUGACGGAUGGCAUACCCAGCAAGCCCGAGGUGCUGGGGCCGGUGGCCACAUGGGAGGCCCUCCAACGCAUCCUUCGAUGGCCGGGCAAACAUCAUCACUGGAUAGUGAAUCUUUGGGUGGCAAAGUGUCGGAUCCCUUGGUGCUUGGUGAUGAUCAGGGUUAGGCUAAGGCGUCGGAUGCUGAUCAAGGAUAGCUAGGAGCCAAUGAGAUGUCAGAAUCAAAGCCAAUGUGUGCUUUGUCAGGGAACAACAUUUUAGCAUAGCAAACAACAAGUUCUUUGGCAGAGGGAGGGGCAAAGGCAGCUACGAAACAGGCACUGGCUAAUGGUGAGGCCAAUUGUAAUGGACCGGAGCUGUUCAAGAUUCCGAAAGGCAAGGAAAAAUUCCAAUUUCGCUAUUUUCAUAAGGGUCAUGUAUCUCAGGAAUGUGUUGCAGUACUGUUUAUGUGAUGUACGUGAAAGUAAUGAUCAUGUUACACACAAGUGUUGUUGGAGCAAGAGUUCGUCUUGCCGUAGCAAGUACGUUGAGAGUUUCUUCUAAGGAGGGGGGACUCAAGCUUGGGGACGAAGUUUAAGAGGAAGGAACACCACGAUGUAUUGAUGGUAGAAAAAUGUAUCACUCUGGGAGGAGUAUCACAACGUUAGCUGUCUUGCUUGUUCUCUCCCGCUGUGUCCGUGCUUUGCCCAGAGGACCAUGGCCUCCUAUUUAUAGAGCCAUCCGUAGCUUGGCGUGCAAGUUAUCAUAAUGUACAAAUAUCCGGUAUC